rnacentral:tRNA from 4 species
GCGGGCGUGGCGGAAUUGGUAGACGCGCUGGAUUUAGGUUCCAGUGGAGAGAUCCGUGGGGGUUCGAGUCCCUUCGCCCGUACCA